UGCGUAGGCGGAAUAAUAAGUCAGUGGUGAAAUCCUGCGGCUCAACCGUAGAACUGCCAUUGAUACUGUUAUUCUUGAAUGUAGUUGAGGUAGGCGGAAUGUGUAAUGUAGCGGUGAAAUGCUUAGAUAUUACACAGAACACCGAUUGCGAAGGCAGCUUGCUAAACUAUUAUUGACGCUGAUGCACGAAAGCGUGGGGAGCGAACAGGAUUAGAUACCCUGGUAGUC
rnacentral:rRNA from 1 species